CUGUGUGUUAUCGUGGCAAUUCUGGAGGGUAACUCAUUCCAUUCUUUUAUUGAUAAGGUUAACGGCGAAUUCUUGUACUUUUCCGUCCGGGCGAAGAUAGGGUUAACUUUGUAGGCAUGAUCGAUGCGAUGUGAAGUAUGAGGUGGCUGUAAAAUGUGUGACCGGGCAAAUGAUGUGUUGCUGUGACACAGUGUGUGAAAAAAACAUAAUCUGGCGAAUUUUCUGCGCAUUGCGAUUGGCGGCAUGUUGAGUGUUUGCUUCAAAGAUGAAACGCUUUGAAAUCGGGAGUAGGAUGACAUGUGAAUCGCGCUGCUUUAUUCUGGACGGCUUCGAGUAGAUUGGUAAGGGCGAUCUGGUAGGGAUGCCAAAUGAAUGAUGCAUAUUCCAGGGUGGGACGCACGAAGAAAGUGUACGCUUGAAGCCUGGUGUCCCUGUCAGCCAGAUGCAAGCGUCGCUUCAGAAAGCCAAGUUUCUUUUGCGCUUUAGUUGUGAUAUAUUUUAUAUGGUCAGUUCAUGUAAAGCUAGAAUUUAUGUAGACACCGAGGUAUUUAACCGAUGUAACCGAGUGUACUAUGCUAUUGUUUAAUAUAUAAGUAUUAGUUUGAGACUUUGGAACGGAAGUGAAGUUCAGGUGAUUGGUCUUUUCUGUGUUAAUUUGCAUCUGCCAUUUGCAGCACCAUUCCGUUAGUUUAUUAAGGUCAGAUUGCAGUGUUUUAAUGUCGUUAGGGCUAGCCAUAUAUCUCUCUGUAAAUCACACAAUCAUCGGCAAAAAGGCGACUGUUGAAUUAAUAUUUAAUGCUAUGUCAUUAAUAUAUAUCAUGUAUCAUUUAGCGCUUCAUCUUGAAACAAGACCGGCGAGCGCACACUUUCUUGUACGGAAUUCUGCUGUACAAAAACAGAUGGACGCAUUGUGAGUGAAGAACAGAAACGAUGGAUGGUUAGGCUGCUUGACUCUCGGCAUGUUUGAAUAGGCAAAGUUCCGAAUUUGUCGCUGUGUGGUGUAUGUUUGUGCGCUCGUCAUGUGCCGUCAUAGCGUGGGUAUACUUGCGCGGAAUGUGUUUCACUCGGCUACAAAACUUUGCACGCUGCGGCAUCGAACAGGCACCAAUACGUGUGCAAACUACGGGAAGGUGAUCGAAGAUGAGUGAUAAAGCACUGUGUGUACUGUCAAAAGGAAAGAGAGAAAGAAAAAGAAAAAAAAAACGCCCUGUCCCGAGUUGGCAUAAUGAUUCAACCUUUAUUUCUUUUUUAACCCAACAUGUAACACCAUUCAUUACAUGAGCUUUAUCCAUGGGUAAAAGUAAUGGCACAACUCAUUAUUUUCCCGUUCAUUACUUGCACCAGCCAGUCCAAAUGAACACUAUACUAGAGCUUAUUGACGCAUCGCAUUACACUCUAGCACGGCAUUGCAACGCUCACUGGACUCUCGUCUGGUUGACUUCUCUGCUUUUCCUCUCCUUGCUUUCUCUAUCUCUUUGUAUACAAUGUACUACCUUGUGGCAGAGAAAACGAUCUCCUCUUCCAGAGUUCAAUUAUUUGUCAAGCAAUCAUUUUACUCUUCCAACAACUACUGCAUAAAUGGGAAAACGAAACCGAUUUUGUUUUGUUCUCCGCGCUCCCAGCACCAGGUGGAACCACACGCGGCGCUUCCGAUCUCGGAGGAUGUAACAAGACGAGCGGUUGACGGAGCUGCAUUGUGUAGUCAGCCGGCUUUUAUCGUUUUAGGUUGUACAGUUUGUUAGUUUACCGUAAAUAUGUCUUGAUUUAUACUCAAGAGUGGAGCAAGGCCCGAGGGAACAGAGACUGACGCAUCGUGAGCGAAGAACAGACGCGAUGGAUGGUUAGGCUGCUUGACUCUCGGCUGUACGACUCUCGGCAUGUUAGGACUGGCAAAGUUCCGAAUUUGUCGCGGUGUGGUGUACGCUUCUGUGCUCGUCAAGUGCCGUCCUAGCGCGGGGAUGUUUGAACGGAGUGUGUCCCUUCGUCUACAAAACUCUGCACGCUGCGGCAUCGAAGAAGUCCUGUGAACGGGUGCACGUAUGCGCUUGGAUACGGGAUAGCCUGCCCUCAACGGAUGUUCAACAGUGUACGCACGCUGCGCGUACGCGUACGUAUGAGACUAGUUGCUGGUGUCCUGCUGGAGCUGAGAAAUCUGCUGCCUGCCAUGAGGCCAUGUCUCUCAAGUUACCGCAAUAUUAUUGCCUUCAAACCUGUCGAGACAAGGUUUCUUUACAUGGCCAUGGCCCUCAAGGAAGAAACCGAGACUGCAGACUGCCAACGUUCAUUCCUGUUUUGGCAAAGACGGGCCAGCAGUAACCAGCUGGGUUUUACAAAGUGAACUCAUCACAGCUUGAGCCACUCCAUGCCACAAGCAGUUGCUCGUCGAGCCACCGUGCAAAGGUUCCUUGGGGCUCAAGUCCAACUCAGCGCCACCACCUCUCUUCUGCAGUUUUUCUACCUACUUAGCUAACCAGCAGCAAGUUUAUCCUUGCAAGGCAUGUGGGAACAGCUUUCACCAGGAAACAGUGCAAGACGAGUGCUCGAAGAAAAUAAAAUUGCUUCUGUGAUCUAAAGUACUUGACGAAUAAAAUUUUGCACUUAUUUGUAUAUAUGUUGUGCAAUUCAUUCAUAUCACAAAAGGCAAAGUGUUUGAUCUUUUGAGCUAUUUCAAUGUGUUGGCUAGACAGUUUUCUCCAUAGCGACCUGCUGCUUCUGCGAUGAGCUGUAUUCAUGACAUUUGCAUUAAAGGAUGUACUAUCGGGGACAAAAGUGCCCAGGACGUGCGAGUGUCGACCAAAUUGCAUCUCUGCACUAUCAGCCGCUAUCAUCUGCAUUGCAGACCACUUUCCGAAUGCAAAUGUUAGCAUGGCUGAUCCCAGCAGAAAGUGCACCAAUAAAAUUCGGUCGACAUUCGCACAUUUUGGGCACUUCUGUCCCCGAUAGUACAUUCUCUAAACAAUCAAUAUGCUCUGUAAAACGUAAUACAGAAAACACCUGUAUUUUAACGAUUGGACCGUAUAGUACAGAUUUUGCAUACGGAGCCUUUUUAUUUCUGAGUACGGAAACACCUGUAUGUUAACGGUUGGACCGUAUAGUACAGAUUCAGCAUACAGAGUCUUUCGUUUUCUGGAUACGGAAACACCUGUAUUUUAACGGUUGGACCGUAUACUACAGAUUCAACAUACAGCGCCUUCCGUUUUCUGAAUACGGAAAG